rnacentral:rRNA from 1 species
UGAGUAACACGUAUCCAACCUGCCGUCUACUCUUGGACAGCCCUCUGAAAGGAAGAUUAAUACAAGAUGGCAUCAUGAGUUCACAUGUUCACAUGAUUAAAGGUAUUCCGGUAGACGAUGGGGAUGCGUUCCAUUAGAUAGUAGGCGGGGUAACGGCCCACCUAGUCUUCGAUGGAUAGGGGUUCUGAGAGGAAGGUCCCCCACAUUGGAACUGAGACACGGUCCAA